rnacentral:ncRNA from 1 species
GAAGAACUUGACUGUCUAAUAAAAACAUAGCGUUGCGAUGGCCAGAAAGUGGUGUUGACGCAAUGUGAUUUGUGCCCAGUGCUCUGGAUGUCAAAGUGAAGGAAUUCAAACAGGCGCGGGUAAACGGUAUGUGAAUCCCUCCAUCUUUUUGUUGUUUUCUUUGGAUUUUAUUUAACUGUGACUAACGUGUGAAAUAGGCGGGAGUAACUAUGACUCAACGCUUGAGAUGUACAAUAUUACAAUGGAUGAUCCGCAGCCAAGCCCUAAAGUCGCCUCGACGAGAAGCGGCCAUGGGUGCCAUUGCAACGACUAAAUGGUGGUGGGUUCACCCCAAUUAGGGCUGGGCUCAAGAUAUAGUCCAGCCCGGGCUGAAAGGUCCGGGAUUUAUAAAAAGCUCUCCAGGUACGUAAAUUUAUCAAUCAUCAUCAUUCUUUCUCAUCGACUCGAAAAUUUAAUACCAACCUGUCUUUUAAAUAGGUGGCCAAAUGCCUCGUCGUCUAAUUAGUGACGCGCAUGAAUGGACUUUGACGAGAUUCUU